UGCAAGUCGAGCGGUAGCACAGAGAGCUUGCUCUCGGGUGACGAGCGGCGGACGGGUGAGUAAUGUCUGGGAAACUGCCUGAUGGAGGGGGAUAACUACUGGAAACGGUAGCUAAUACCGCAUAAUGUCGCAAGACCAAAGUGGGGGACCUUCGGGCCUCAUGCCAUCAGAUGUGCCCAGAUGGGAUUAGCUAGUAGGUGGGGUAACGGCUCACCUAGGCGACGAUCCCUAGCUGGUCUGAGAGGAUGACCAGCCACACUGGAACUGAGACACGGUCCAGACUCCUACGGGAGGCAGCAGUGGGGAAUAUUGCACAAUGGGCGCAAGCCUGAUGCAGCCAUGCCGCGUGUGUGAAGAAGGCCUUCGGGUUGUAAAGCACUUUCAGCGGGGAGGAAGGCGUUAAGGUUAAUAACCUUGGCGAUUGACGUUACCCGCAGAAGAAGCACCGGCUAACUCCGUGCCAGCAGCCGCGGUAAUACGGAGGGUGCAAGCGUUAAUCGGAAUUACUGGGCGUAAAGCGCACGCAGGCGGUCUGUCAAGUCGGAUGUGAAAUCCCCGGGCUCAACCUGGGAACUGCAUUCGAAACUGGCAGGCUAGAGUCUUGUAGAGGGGGGUAGAAUUCCAGGUGUAGCGGUGAAAUGCGUAGAGAUCUGGAGGAAUACCGGUGGCGAAGGCGGCCCCCUGGACAAAGACUGACGCUCAGGUGCGAAAGCGUGGGGAGCAAACAGGAUUAGAUACCCUGGUAGUCCACGCCGUAAACGAUGUCGAUUUGGAGGUUGUGCCCUUGAGGCGUGGCUUCCGGAGCUAACGCGUUAAAUCGACCGCCUGGGGAGUACGGCCGCAAGGUUAAAACUCAAAUGAAUUGACGGGGGCCCGCACAAGCGGUGGAGCAUGUGGUUUAAUUCGAUGCAACGCGAAGAACCUUACCUGGUCUUGACAUCCACAGAACUUUGCAGAGAUGGUUUGGUGCCUUCGGGAACUGUGAGACAGGUGCUGCAUGGCUGUCGUCAGCUCGUGUUGUGAAAUGUUGGGUUAAGUCCCGCAACGAGCGCAACCCUUAUCCUUUGUUGCCAGCGGUCCGGCCGGGAACUCAAAGGAGACUGCCAGUGAUAAACUGGAGGAAGGUGGGGAUGACGUCAAGUCAUCAUGGCCCUUACGACCAGGGCUACACACGUGCUACAAUGGCAUAUACAAAGAGAAGCGACCUCGCGAGAGCAAGCGGACCUCAUAAAGUAUGUCGUAGUCCGGAUUGGAGUCUGCAACUCGACUCCAUGAAGUCGGAAUCGCUAGUAAUCGUAGAUCAGAAUGCUACGGUGAAUACGUUCCCGGGCCUUGUACACACCGCCCGUCACACCAUGGGAGUGGGUUGCAAAAGAAGUAGGUAGCUUAACCUUCGGGAGGGCGCUUACCA
rnacentral:rRNA from 1 species